UAACGCGUGAAGUUGACCGCCUGGGGAGUACGAUCGCAAGAUUAAAACUCAAAUGAAUUGACGGGGGCCCGCACAAGCGGUGGAUUAUGUGGAUUAAUUCGAUGCAACGCGAAAAACCUUACCUGGCCUUGACAUGUACCGAAUUUGCUAGAGAUAGCUUAGUGCUCGAAAGAGAACGGUAACACAGGUGCUGCAUGGCUGUCGUCAGCUCGUGUCGUGAGAUGUCGGGUUAAGUCCCGCAACGAGCGCAACCCUUGCCAAUAAUUGCCAUCAUUUAGUUGGGCACUUUAUUGGGACUGCCGAUGACAAAUCGGAGGAAGGUGGGGAUGACGUCAAGUCCUCAUGGCCCUUAUGGCCAGGGCUUCACACGUAAUACAAUGGUCGGUACAGAGAGUUGCCAACCCGUAAGGGGGAGCUAAUCUCAGAAAGCCGAUCGUAGUCCGGAUUGAGGUCUGCAACUCGACCUCAUGAAGUCGGAAUCGCUAGUAAUCGCGGAUCAGCAUGUCGCGGUGAAUACGUUCCCGGGCCUUGUACACACCGCCCGUCACACCAUGGGAGUGGGUUUUACCAGAAGUAGGUAGUCUAACCGUAAGGGGGACGCUUACCACGGUAGUAUUCAUGACUGGGGUGAAGUCGUAACAAGGUAACCAAUCUCUAGAGGA
rnacentral:rRNA from 1 species